AACGAACGCUGGCGGCAGGCUUAACACAUGCAAGUCGAACGCCCCGCAAGGGGAGUGGCAGACGGGUGAGUAACGCGUGGGAAUCUACCCAAUUCUACGGAACAACUGAGGGAAACUUCAGCUAAUACCGUAUACGCCCUACGGGGGAAAGAUUUAUCGGAAUUGGAUGAGCCCGCGUUGGAUUAGCUAGUUGGUGGGGUAAUGGCCUACCAAGGCGACGAUCCAUAGCUGGUCUGAGAGGAUGAUCAGCCACACUGGGACUGAGACACGGCCCAGACUCCUACGGGAGGCAGCAGUGGGGAAUAUUGGACAAUGGGCGAAAGCCUGAUCCAGCCAUGCCGCGUGAGUGAUGAAGGCCUUAGGGUUGUAAAGCUCUUUCAGUGGGGAAGAUAAUGACGGUACCCACAGAAGAAGCCCCGGCUAACUUCGUGCCAGCCGCCGCCGUAA
rnacentral:rRNA from 1 species